rnacentral:rRNA from 1 species
CUACGGGAUGCUGCAGUGGGGAAUAUUGGACAAUGGGGGAAACCCUGAUCCAGCAAUGCCGCGUGUGUGAAGAAGGCCUGCGGGUUGUAAAGCACUUUCGGUUGGGAGGACUGCUUCUAGCACUAAUAUUGUUGGAAGUUGACGUUACCUUCAGAAGAAGCACCGGCUAACUCCGCGCCAGCAGCCGCGGUAAUACGGAGGGUGCAAGCGUUAAUCGGAAUUACUGGGCGUAAAGCGCGCGUAGGCGGCUAGAUCAGUCGGGUGUGAAAGCCCCGGGCUUAACCUGGGAACUGCAUCCGAUACUGUCUAGCUUGAGUACAGGAGAGGAGAGUGGAAUUCCACAUGUAGCGGUGAAAUGCGUAGAUAUGUGGAGGAACACCAAUGGCGAAGGCAGCUCUCUGGCCUGAUACUGACGCUGAGGCGCGAAAGCGUGGGGAGCAAACAGGAUUAGAUACCCCAGUAGUC